UACGAAGGGAGCUAGCGUUGUUCGGAAUCACUGGGCGUAAAGCGCACGUAGGCGGAUGUGUCAGUCAGGGGUGAAAUCCCGGAGCUCAACUUCGGAACUGCCUCUGAUACAGCACGUCUUGAGUCCGGAAGAGGUGGGUGGAAUUCCUAGUGUAGAGGUGAAAUUCGUAGAUAUUCGCAAGAACACCAGUGGCGAAGGCGGCUCACUGGCCCGGUACGUGACGCUGAGGUGCGAAAGCGUGGGGAGCAAACAGG
rnacentral:rRNA from 1 species